CGGACGGUGACAGAGGAGCCUCGGGGGACUAGGGGGCGGGCCGGGUGUCCCGGAGCUUGGCCGAGCUGCAGCGCGGGACGCCUCAGAUGUCCAGGAAGUUGAUGGCCUAAUUCAGCAGAACCAAGAAAAUCACUGGAGACAUUUGUGACAAGUUGUAAUCACCAACAACAACACAUCAACUGAGAAAAGAAUAUUGGACCUUGCUAAGCAUCAGAGAACUCACAUGGAGAAACUCACAUGGAGAAGAGUGAGAAGUCACUCUUCAGCAAGAGUCACAGAAUUCACAAUGUUGAGAAACAGUAUGAAUGUGACAUAGGCAGAAAGACUUUCUAUGUUAUGUCACACCUCAGUAUGCAUCAGAAAAUCCACAGAGGUGAGAAGCUCUUUGCAUGUAAUGAGUGUGGAAAAUCCUAUUACUGGAAGUCACACUGGAGCAGACAUCAGAGCACUCAUACUGGUGAAAAGCCAUAUGAAUGUAAAGAAUGUGGAAAAGCUUUUAAACAGAAGUCACACCUCAGCAGGCUUCACAGUAUUCAUACAGGAUAGAAACCCUAUGAAUGUACAGAAUGUGGAAAAGCAUUUCCAUGGAAGUCAUGCCUCAGCUUGCAUCAGAGAAUUCAUACAGGUGAGAAACCCUAUGAAUGUAAAGAAUGUGGAAAAACUUUUAAAUAGAAGUCACACCUCAGCAGGCUUCACAGUAUUCAUACAGGAUAGAAACCCUAUGAAUGUACAGAAUGUGGAAAAGCAUUUCCAUGGAAGUCAUGCCUCAGCUUGCAUCAGAGAAUUCAUACAGGUGAGAAACCCUAUGAAUGUAAAGAAUGUGGAAAAACUUUUAAAUAGAAGUCACACCUCAGCAGGCAUCGCAGUAUUCAUACAGGAUAGAAACCCUAUGAAUGUACAGAAUGUGGAAAAGCAUUUCCAUGGAAGUCAUGCCUCAGCUGGCAUCAGAGAAUUCAUACAGGUGAGAAACCCUAUGAAUAUAAAGAAUGUGGAAAAGCUUUUAAACAGAAGUCACACCUCACCAGGCAUCAGAGUAUUCAUACAGGUGAGAAACCAUAUAAAUGUAAAGAAUCUAGGGAAACAUUCUGCAGCAAAUCACACCUCAGUGCACAUCACAGUAUUCACAGAGAUGAGAAUCUAUAUGAAUAUAAUAAAUGUGGACAAACCUUUCACCUGAAAUCACACUUUUGGGUGCAUCAGAGUCCUCACACAGGAGAAAAACCCUGUGAGUGGGGUGAAUGUGGAAAAACAUUUUGGAAGAUGUCAGCCCCCAUAGAGCAUCAGAGAAUUCACACAGGUGAAAGACCCUAUGAAUGUAAUGAAUGCGGUAAAGCUUUCUACAGAAAAUCACACCUCAGUGCACACCAGAGAAUGCAUACAGGUAAGAAACUCUAUGAAUGUAAAGAAUGUAGGAAAGCUUUCUACAAAAAGUCACAACUUAAUGCACACCAGAUAAUUCAUAUAGGUGAGAAAUCAUGAAUAUGAGCCGUGUACAAAAACUUUCUAUCAUAAAGCCGCUCUGACUACAUCAGAGAUUCACACUGGUGAGAAACCUUAUGAAUGUAAGGAAUGUGCUAUAACUUUCUAUAGUAAAUCAAAAUUAAGUGGAUGUCAGAUAGUUCACACAGGUGAGAAACCCUUUGAGUUUAAUG